rnacentral:rRNA from 1 species
UAGCCCAGCACCGAAGCCUAUUGCACUUGUGGACAGGGCAAUGUGGUGUUCAGGCAUGAACCUGGGGACGCUCGUCUGUUCGAAGUCCAACUCCGAUUAUGGCUUGGAUUUGUCCCAUAGAGGGUGAAAGGCCCGUUCGAACAGACAUACUCCCUCAUGUUUGUGCUUUCGAGUCGGAUUGCUUGAGAAUGCAGUCCAAAGCGGGUGGUAAACUCCAUCCAAGGCUAAAUACUGGCACGAGUCCGAUAGUAGACAAGUACCGUGAGGGAAAGUUGAAAAGUACUCUGAAGAGAGAGUAAAUAGUACGUGAAACCGAUUGUAUGGAAGCUGGUGGAGUCAAGCUUCUUGCCUUGGUGAUUGCCGAGGAGAAUGUUGUUCAUAGAGUAUGGAGGGUUCCGCUUGGAAAUAGCAGGUUGGUUCUCAAGCGUUCCGGGUAGUGUGUUGUGUCUCUCUAUCCUCAGGUCUCUUCGUUAUUUCUGGCUAACAUCACAAUCAAUGCACCUGUGGUGUCUCAUCGUCUAACUACGUUAUAGGGACCCUUGGUUUCCUGAACGUGGGAUGGCAGGUGGUAGCCGUCACUUGUAUGCGUUGCUACUUGCUGACCAUGACAAGUUGG